UUGUCAGAACUUAGCAGACAGCGCCAUGCAGUUCUCUGCUGGCGCUGUCCCCUCUGCUCUCUCCACAGGUGACUGCAGCUGACUGGUGGGCGGGGCGCGCACACCUGCGGCUCGUUCUGCGAGUCAGCGCUGGAGCAUAAGAGCAGCGCUCAGACAGCCGGUGGAUGCCUGAGUGUUAGCAUCAGUGGUUUCCCGUGCCUUGAUCCAGCCGUGGCGCUUAUGCACUUGUCUUGCCAGACUUCAGAGGAAAACCAGUCAGUCUGACUCGCCAGAUUCCACCGGCUGUCCUCCACCACCUCGGGCGCUGCUCGGACCUCCCCUUGCUCCUUCAGCUCACCGCCGCUCAGUCACCAACCUCCAUCAGAGCCGAAAGCGCUAAGUUCCUCCUCCGCUCCACUUCCCCCGGUCCGGUCCCCGAACCUUGUGAUCCUCUCACCCCGGCUCCGUUCAGCCUUAAAUUCUGUGAUCAGCCAGCUCCGCUCCUGUAAAUAAAACCUUUAAACUGCUCAUUGUUG